UUGGAGUUAUGAAGUUAAUGUUAAAGGAAAACUACAGAUGUGACUAAUUGUGAAGAGAAUUCAUCUUCUCUUAAGGGAGUGCAUCUCUGAGUGCUCUCCUUCAUUGCUAACUGCUUUACUUUCCUUUUUGAUAAGGGAGCAUAACAAUAUUAUCUUAUGAAGCCAGAAGACUAAAAAGAUAGUACAUACAAAAGCCUCUGAAGUAUGGGAAGAGCUAUUCAAUCCCGGAGAUAAUGUGUAUGUUCUACCUGGUUCUGAUGUCAACUUGACCUGCCAAACAAAGGAGAAAGACUUCUUGGUACAGAUGCAGUGGUCCAAGGUCACAGAUAAGACUGAGUUUAUUGCUGUUUAUCAUCCCCAGUAUGGCUUCUACUGUAGGCAGGCGCAUGCCUGUGAGUCUCAAGUGGCUGCCAUAAAAUCUCUGAAGGGUGUAACAAAUUGGACUUUAUACUUAAGGAAUAUCUAUCCCACCCUCAGUGGAAAGUAUGAGUGCAUCUUUACUCUGUAUCCAGAAGGCAUCAAGACUACAGUCUACAACCUCAUUGUGGAACCCUGUGUGUAUAACCUUCCCAAGGAACACCUUCACUGCUUUCAUGUACCUUUCAUUCAUUUAGCAAAUACACAAAGACAGGAACCAUGUUCUACAUUUGGUAUUGAACACACAAAGACUUAGGAGAAAGAAACAUUAUCUGAUAAGGGAAGUAGCACAGAUCAAAUAAUGCUACAGAUAAAUGUAAACUUGCAACAGUGGUAAGUUUUAAGAACUACAAUAGUUGAGAGCAUAGCAGAGUCCAGAAAAAUGGUCAUUGAGAAAGGAGCACCUAAAGAAUGAGGAAUGAGUAGUCAUUACUGCAAUUUAGAAGAAAUGGGGGUUGGGAGUGAGCUAGAAGUGGGGUGGGGACAGCCAUGGGGCAUGCUUUGCAAAGUUUACGAAUUUAGAAAUAUGCAUGUAGGGAUACAGUAGAGACACAGUGAGGACGAGAUCAUGACAGACUUUGUUGGCUGUGUUCAAAGCUGACUUCUACAAAAGAAUCAUACAAAGAAAUGUAAUUUUUUUCAACAAGAGGUUAAGAUGACAUUUGUAGUUUGUGUUCAUGUUAUAAAGAGAUGACCCUGGCUUCAGUAGGAGAACUCCCUUACAGUGGACAAGAAAAAUGGGAACAGAUUAGAAGAUGAAUUUUGACUGUCCAGAAGAAAUGUAAUGGCAGUCUGGUAGAUAUGAAAAGGGGUGUGUACAUUUUACAUACUGAGUAUAGAAUACACAUGACUUGAUCAUAGAGUGGAUGUAGGACAAGGGCAGUGAGUGAAGAAGGAAGACACUUAGAAGGCAACAUUGAAAUUCUGCAUAGUGGUGCCAGCAGGUGGGAUACAAGAUGAAGGAAGUAGAGUGACUUUUUGAGUGAACUUACAAAAGCGAAUCUGGAUAUUUACUAGAGGGCAGGGAAAUGGGCCAUCAAAGCUCCUGAACAUUCAGGAGCAUUCAGACUGUUCAGGUUUCAAGGGCCUGCAUUCACGAUGGAGGCCUGAAUUUAAGCUCUAUGCUCAUUCUGCCUACAAAUGAAGUUGACUUGGGGCCUGCCUUGUAAGUUCUCUGAACCUGUUUUGGAAAUUAUUCUGAUAAUAUCUGUUCUACAUGAUCCAGUUCUAAGGUAAAAUGAUUUCGAUUCCUACUAAUGGGAAUAGAUGACAAUAAAAACCAGCAAAUGGAAAGUGCAUUGGAAA